UACGUAGGGGGCAAGCGUUGUCCGGAUUCAUUGGGCGUAAAGAGCGUGUAGGCGGCCAGGUAGGUCGGUUGUGAAAACUGGAGGCUCAACCUUCAGAGGUCGACCGAAACCAUCUGGCUAGAGUCCGGGAGAGGAGAGUGGAAUUCCUGGUGUAGCGGUGAAAUGAGCAGAUAUCAGGAAGAACACCCGUGGCGAAAGCGGCUCUCUGGAACGGUACUGACGCUGAGACGCGAAAGCGUGGGGAGCGAACAGG
rnacentral:rRNA from 1 species